UUCUCUUAUGUGUGUGUUUCGGUGAAAUUGCUGCUAACCUACUACCACACACACACGCACACAAUACUUUUGUGAUACUCUUUUUUUUCCUCUUCUUUUUUUCCCCUUUCUUUUUUUUGGUGGGUUUUUGGUAUUUCAUCUCUGCAUUGGGGUAUCUAUGCUCAUUGGGCAUCUGCUGAGACAGAAAAGUGCCAUUUCUUCGCUUCUUUGGGUUCACAAGGAGGAAGAUCAGGGUGGUUGAGUUCAGAUCACUCACCAAGGUGAGGGCUUUCUCUCUCUACUUUGAUGGAAAGCCACACAUUUUCUUGAUUUUGAUUAAGUUGUUAGAUUUGAGAUUGAAUUUAAGCCUAUAAUCUGUGUAGAUG
rnacentral:lncRNA from 1 species